rnacentral:lncRNA from 10 species
AGUGAUUGGCUCCAAGGAGGAAAACUGGGAAGUCAGGGGAGAAGUUGGAGGGAGACUAUGUUUUCAUACAAAAUCCUUCUGUGCCUUUUGAGUUUUGUAUCAUGUGCAGGAAUUGCCUAUGUAUAAGACAAAAUAAUUUUAAAUGAAUUAAUGAAGAUAAUUUUUGAUAUUAAGACAAGAACUAAAAGUUAGCUUAAUACUAGGAAUAACUGGCCGGGUGCGGUGGCUCACACCUGUAAUCCCAGCACUUUGGGAAGCCGAGGCAGGCAGAUCACCUGAGGUCUGGAGUUUGAGACCAGGCCUGACCAACAUGGAAAAACCUUGUCUCUACUAAAAAUACAAAAUUAGCCAGGCGUGGUGGUGCACACCUGUAAUCCCAGCUACUCAGGAGGCUGAGGCAGGAGAAUCGCUUGAACCCGGGAGGUGGAGGUUGCAGGGAGCUGAGAUGGUGCCAUUGCACUCCAGCCUGGGCAACAAGAGUGAAACUCCGUCCAAAAGAAAAAGAAAAAAACUAAGAAUAACUAACUGUAAAAUAGAGUUUUAUAUGCAUAAAAUUAUAAUUUGAGUUAGAAGAACCACAAAUAGUUUAACAAAUGUAUUUGUCAAAAAAAAACAAUAGAUGUUUUGAAAAUGAAAAAUAUAAUUUUAAAGUAGAAACUUUAUCUCACUCAGCUAG